rnacentral:rRNA from 1 species
UACAGAGGGGGCAAGCGUUGUUCGGAAUUACUGGGCGUAAAGGGCGCGUAGGCGGCCGCCUAAGUCAGACGUGAAAUCCCUCGGCUCAACCGGGGAACUGCGCUUGAAACUGUUAGGCUCGAGUCAGCUAGAGGUACACGGAACUUCCAGUGGAGCGGUGAAAUGUGUUGAUAUUGGAAGGAACACCGGAGGCGAAAGCGGUGUACUGGGGCUGGUCUGACGCUGAGGCACGAAAGCCAGGGGAGCGAACGGG